rnacentral:tRNA from 1 species
CGAAGUGUAGCUUAAACAAAGCAUUUCGCUUACACCGAAAAAAUAUCUGUGAAACUCAGAUCCCUUCGAGCCAAAAACUUAGCCCAAA